rnacentral:lncRNA from 1 species
GCCGGCUAAUUCAUUAGUAGCAAAAGAUAGCAAAAUAAUAACCAACUUAUUUUUCAUCAAGUAGAAGGAAGAAAAAACCCUUUGGAGCUACAUUAGUCGAUUCAACAUUGAGAUAUUAGAGGUGCAUAAGCUAGACACUCUUAUUGCUAUAGCUACUAUGACGAAUAGGCUCAUAAGCUUGCACUUCAACCUCUUUUUGGAGU